rnacentral:rRNA from 1 species
GAGUUUGAUCCUGGCUCAGGACGAACGCUGGCGGCGUGCUUAACACAUGCAAGUCGAACGGGAGGAAAAGAGAAGCUUGCUUCUUUUUGAAUCUAGUGGCAAACGGGUGAGUAACACGUAAACAACCUGCCUUCAGGAUGGGGACAACAGACGGAAACGACUGCUAAUACCGAAUGUGUUCCGGAGACCGCAUGAUUUCCGGAAGAAAGGAUGGCCUCUAUUUAUAAGCUAUCGCCUGAAGAGGGGUUUGCGUCUGAUUAGGCAGUUGGUGAGGUAACGGCCCACCAAACCUACGAUCAGUAGCCGGUCUGAGAGGAUGAACGGCCACACUGGAACUGAGACACGGUCCAGACUCCUACGGGAGGCAGCAGUGGGGAAUCUUCCGCAAUGGACGAAAGUCUGACGGAGCAACGCCGCGUGAGUGAUGACGGCCUUCGGGUUGUAAAGCUCUGUGAUCGGGGACGAAUGGCUGGUGCGUUAAUACCGCAUCAGAGUGACGGUACCCGAAUAGCAAGCCACGGCUAACUACGUGCCAGCAGCCGCGGUAAUACGUAGGUGGCAAGCGUUGUCCGGAAUUAUUGGGCGUAAAGCGCGCGCAGGCGGCUUCUUAAGUCCAUCUUAAAAGUGCGGGGCUUAACCCCGUGAUGGGAUGGAAACUGGGAGGCUGGAGUAUCGGAGAGGAAAGUGGAAUUCCUAGUGUAGCGGUGAAAUGCGUAGAGAUUAGGAAGAACACCGGUGGCGAAGGCGACUUUCUGGACGACAACUGACGCUGAGGCGCGAAAGCGUGGGGAGCAAACAGGAUUAGAUACCCUGGUAGUCCACGCCGUAAACGA